GCUUACGGCCAUACCACCCUGAACAUGUCCAAUAUUGACCGAUCUCUGAAGCUAAGCAGGGUCGGGCCUGGUUAGUACUUGGAUUAGAGACUGCUUGGGAAUACCAGGUGCUGUAAGCA
rnacentral:rRNA from 1 species